rnacentral:miRNA from 1 species
AGGUUGGUGCAAAAGUAAUUGCGGAUUUUUGCUAUUUUAAUGGCAAAAACCACAAUUAUUUUUGCACCAAUCUA